rnacentral:misc_RNA from 1 species
AAUUUUGCAAUUUUUCCAAUGACAGUUUCCAGCAAGGUCUUCAAUUUGUGAUUAUAACCAUUCACCGUCACCUGAGGGUGAAGGAAAUUUAAAAGCAAGUUAAAACAUGUAAGUGGUAUCACAUCACGCUGAGAGAAACAACAGCCAAAUAACUAUUAAGGAUCUCAUUGGAAGAAAAAAAGCUUGUGAUUUUGAACUUAUAUUUCUAGCCCAUUUCCUAUGUAUUGCAACAUUGUAAAGGAAAGAAACAAUGAAAUACUGCAAAAGUUAGAAGAGAUUCC